rnacentral:rRNA from 1 species
GAUGAACGCUGGCGGCGUGCUUAACACAUGCAAGUCGAACGGGAAUUACUUUAUUGAAACUUCGGUCGAUUUAAUUUAAUUCUAGUGGCGGACGGGUGAGUAACGCGUGGGUAACCUGCCUUAUACAGGGGGAUAACAGUCAGAAAUGACCGCUAAUACCGCAUAAGCGCACAGAGCUGCAUGGCUCAGUGCGAAAAACUCCGGUGGUAUAAGAUGGACCCGCGUUGGAUUAGCUAGUUGGUGAGGUAACGGCCCACCAAGGCGACGAUCCAUAGCCGGCCAGAGGGGGUGAACGGCCACAUGGGGACUGAGACACGGCCCAGACUCCUACGGGAGGCAGCAGUGGGGAAUAUUGCACAAUGGGGGAAACCCUGAUGCAGCGACGCCGCGUGAAGGAAGAAGUAUCUCGGUAUGUAAACUUCUAUCAGCAGGGAAGAAUUAGGACGGUACCUGACUAAGAAGCCCCGGCUAACUACGUGCCAGCCGCCGCGGUAACAC